CAUGAUAAGGUGUGGCGUGAUUUCAUCUCAAAUGUAUAUUUAGUACACAUACGUAAUAACAAUCAUAAUACCUAACCUUGGAUGCACAUGGAUGUGAUCACAGAAAACAAUGCCAGGAUAAUCAUUGGCCUCUUAUGUACACAGUUUUCAUAUAUACAUGUAUACAUACACACACACACACACACAUACAUAUUACGGAGAAAUACGGAUUUAAGUAACACCAUCCCUGUCCCUCGUACUCCAGAUUUACUUCCUGGUAGAGGACCUUGACAUGGCUGACUGAGUGACAAGACAAUGGCUACGUGUAUGAGCUGGUGGUAGUAUAUUCCAGUGCUGUGCUUCACCUUUCAGUCGGUUAACACAGGUGAGGUGCCCACAACAUACACCAGUAAAGCUUGCUAUGGUACUUCGGGCCUAUCCUGUACUCGGCACUACAUCAGCUGCAGAAAUACCCAGAGUAUCGCUAUCUCUGACGCCUACUAUACCACCAAUACAGAAUGUAGCGCCUCAGGACUCUCAAGCUGCAACGUCAACCCGGAUGGUGUGAAAGAAGACGGAUAUCUCAGGUUCACCGUCGAGCUGGUCCCCAUCUACAGCCGAUGCUCUAUGCAGACAGAGUGUGUGUAUCCUGCUCCCAGGCGAGUGCUGGGUCGCACAUUCUCUGUUGUGAAAUAUCGGUGUAUUAAACGUAAUAAAUCAGUACGCAUAGAUGGUGGCAUGGCAAACGGCAUAUCCCAAGUUUCUGUCAUUUCUGGCGACAAACGGUUACCAUCGAAUUCUUCUACGUUAAAAUCCUCCAGAUAUAUGUGCUGGCUACAGCCCAACAGGACGGAUGUAGAUAUAACGGUAUACACACUUGAUGCACGUUUGAGGAGUGGUAUCCAGCCAGACUGCUUAUCACAGCCAACUGUCCAAAUUGGGAAUAUAAUCACAGUGACUACAUGCAAUAACCUGUUUCUACCGUUUGAGAAACUGAAAAUAUCACAGAAUCUCCCCAAAUCGAUAACCUUCUUGGAUAAACCCAAACAGAAAACCUUACUAUGGCUUUUGAUAACAGCAACAAACCCUUUCAGCAUCAAGUGUGAACAUGUUCAAGUGCAAACUAAAGGUACCAGUGGAGUAACAACGAUGGCAAGUUACAACAUCACUUCAAAGUGGACUACAGAAGAAAGGCUACAAACAACAGAAGUCCUGAUGAGGUGUCAAUAUUGUUGAAUCGACAUCGGAGCAAACUCACUGUCUUGUCCAGGUUUCAGAACUCAUAGUGCCGGAUGGAACCCGAGCUAAUAUCGGUGCAGUUAUGGGCGGAGUUGCUGCAACCGUCCUUGCAGUGUCAGUAACAGCAUUCUUCAUAGUGAGGCUCAUCCGAAA
rnacentral:misc_RNA from 1 species